UCACCUUUAUUUUUUAAGAAAAAGCACCUCAGUUUUAUUGCUAAUCUGACUGUUGGUUGAAGUGCAUUCAGUUGAUGUUGUCUAAGGCUAUGUCGCACUCAUUUUCUUCAUUGUGUUCCUAAUGUUACUGAAAAGUAGGAACACAGGACUUUUGAAAAAUUAGUUCAGUGCAUCAGAGAGUCAUGUGUAUGGAGACUCCUUUUAUUGCUCCUUUAUCGGAAGUAUUUCCUCUAUGUCAUGAAAGAUCAUUGUCCCUCAUUCAUGUUCUGAAUAAUUUAUUCUUAAUUUGUUAUUAUCUCAGGAAAAGUUCAAUGCAUCUGUGUGAUAUAUAUUAUAUCAUAGUAUCCCAUAUGCGAAGUAUGUGUGUUUGUGUACUGUUGUUCUUCCUGUCCUGCUUAUAUAGCAUUUCACUCUGCAUACAUAAAAUACUACAUAUAUUAUAGUUUCUUCGCUAAUACAAAUUAUUGUUUUCUGGGAUAAUUGGUCUUGCCAAGGAUAAGGCCAUCUCAUUGCACCUGAAUCACUAGUAGCAAGAGCUGUUACAUAUUUUUCAGGAAGUCCAUCAGUAUAAGUAUACUAAUAAUUUUCUACACUAUACCAAUAAUUUAAUUAGUUGUUUUUCUUAUUCUUUCCCUAAUUAAACUUUUCCUGGUCUUCCUUUCUUCUUCAGUGCACUAUGUGUGUUGCACUAUGUUUGAUGUGGUAUAUGAAGUCAUGGCAGUAGUACAAUAUAGUAUAGACAGACUUGAGUUAAAAUUAUACUUGAUUACAUUUUUUUCAGCAUCAGCCUGGAAAGAAUAUUUUCAGUUCAGUAGCAGCUGUAAAUUAAAUUCCACAAAAGGGGAGGUGGAAGAGGCCUUGCACUGUAUUUUGUAUUUCAACAGAUAUCCUGUGACUUUAACUCAAACAAUUUGAUUUAAAACUUAACAGUGUUCUCUCAGUACUACACUAAAGAGACUUUUAUCCAUAAAAUUGAUGAACCUAAAAUUAAUGUUAUGAAUUCUCUUGUUCUAUUUUAAGAAUAUAUGGUUGUUAGACUGAUGUCUCACAUCUGUGCAAAGAAAAUGCUGUUUCACCACCUGCAACAUCUCUCUAUAUUUGAAGAGAUGUCUGGUUUUCUGAAGUAAGCAAAGAUGUUUGAUUUUCUUUACAUUAACAUAACCUUUGUUCUUCUCUUUUCAAGCUGAGUUCCUUGCUGUACACAUGUAAAUUUUAUCUCUUCUUUACUUAGCACAAGAAUGUCCAGUCAUGGACUUCUGUAUGUCAUUGAACCAACUGGCUGUAUACUAUAUUACCAUGACAGAAAACAGUGCACUGGCAGCAGCUCGCAAACACACAGAAUCCAGAGGCCUUCCAAGUGUCACUAUAGCAAAGUUUACACAGCCUUUGGACAAUAAAAUUCCACAAAAAUGAGGACAUGGUAUGUGGGCAAGAGGCUGGGAAAGAAUACAGCUAAAAUAACUGACCCAAACUGACUAAAAGGAUGCUCCAUACAAUAUGACACCAUGCUCAGCAACAAAAAGCUCAAGGAAAGGAGUAGAAAAGGAGGAUAUUCGUAGCUACGAUAUUCAUCUUCCCAAGCACCAUUCAGGG